rnacentral:rRNA from 1 species
CCGUACCCAGACUCCUACGGGAGGCAGCAGUAGGGAAUCUUCGGCAAUGGGGGCAACCCUGACCGAGCAACGCCGCGUGAGUGAAGAAGGUUUUCGGAUCGUAAAGCUCUGUUGUAAGUCAAGAACGGGUGUGAGAGUGGAAAGUUCACACCUUGACGGUACCUAACCAGAAAGCCACGGCUAACUACGUGCCAGCAGCCGCGGUAAUACGUAGGUGGCAAGCGUUAUCCGGAAUUAUUGGGCGUAAAGCGCGCGCAGGUGGUUUCUUAAGUCUGAUGUGAAAGCCCACGGCUCAACCGUGGAGGGUCAUUGGAAACUGGGAGACUUGAGUGCAGAAGAGGAAAGUGGAAUUCCAUGUGUAGCGGUGAAAUGCGUAGAGAUAUGGAGGAACACCAGUGGCGAAGGCGACUUUCUGGUCUGUAACUGACACUGAGGCGCGAAAGCGUGGGGAGCAAACAGGAUUAGAUACCCUGGUAGUCCACGCCGUAAACGAUGAGUGCUAAGUGUUAGAGGGUUUCCGCCCUUUAGUGCUGAA